rnacentral:rRNA from 1 species
GAUCCUGGCUCAGGACGAACGCUGGCGGCGUGCUUAACACAUGCAAGUCGAACGAGAAUCUACUGAAAGAGUUUUCGGACAAUGGAAGUAGAGGAAAGUGGCGGACGGGUGAGUAACGCGUGAGGAACCUGCCUUGAAGAGGGGGACAACAGUUGGAAACGACUGCUAAUACCGCAUGAUGCAUAAGGGUCGCAUGAUUCUUAUGCCAAAGAUUUAUCGCUUCAAGAUGGCCUCGCGU